rnacentral:lncRNA from 1 species
GACAACUUACACUUUCUACUCAAAAAAUCAAUCUACAAUCUCUAUUUGUUUCUUUGUGUUAUUGUGUGAUCUUUGAAAAUGGCGAAUUACCAGAACCAAUAUGGUGCAACGGCCCAAUCUACAAAUGAUUACGGGAACCCACUCACCAACUACACCGGAUCAGAGCCCCAAUCUACAAAUGAGUACGGGGCUACAGAUGAGUAUGGGAACCCAGUCACCACCUACACCAGAUCAGAGCCCCACUAUACAGAUGAGUAUGGGAACCCAGUACGCGAAAGGGGGAUGAUGGACAAGAUCAAGGAGAAGCUCCCAGGUACUCAUGACCCCUACUCAUCUCAUUCUCAGACAACCUACCCCACUGCACGUUACGGUGAAACCGGCUACACUGGAUUGGAGCAGCACCAUGGGAUGAUGAACAAGAUGCCAGGUACUGACCCCUACUCAUCUCAUUCUCAUACAACCGGCACCACUGCACCUUACGAUGGAACCGGCUACACCGGAACAGAGUACCGCCAGCACAAGGGCACGAUGGACAGGAUCAAGGAUAAGCUGACUGGGACUGGUGGACAUAGGGUGGAUGAUCCCUACUCAUCUCAUUCUCAUAAAACCGCCACCACCACACCUUACGGUGGCACCACCACCACAGCUUACGGUGACAGCACCACCACACCUUCACCUUACGGUGGCACCACCACCACACAUUCACCUUACGGUGGCACCACCACCACAGCUUACGGUGACACCACCACCACACCUUCAGCUUACGGUGGCACCACCACCACACCUUCAGCUUACGGUGGCACCGCCACCACCACCUACCCCCGUGAAAAGAAGGGCAUCAUGGACAAGAUCAAAGAGAAACUUCCUGGUGGACAUCAUUAUUAAUAAUAGGGUUAUGUAAGAGAUAGAUACGUUAGGUAUCGUUUUGUGUUCAAUGUUUUAGUAUGACGUGUAUAAUAAGCGGUGCUUGGUGUGGUUGUUAUGUUUGUGAACACCGAGCUCUGCGCCAUGUCCUUUGUAUUUUGUGAUACAUACUUUGUAUGUCCUUUAUAUCUAUCUUAACAAUAGUUCCUGUGUAAGCAAGUUUUAAUUGUUUGGAGAGGGAUUUAUUAAAACCAGCAAUAGUCUAAUUAUUUUAAAUUAUUAUAAUUUACAAGGAAUUCAAACUUGAGGCCAAAAACGUAAGGCUCACCUCUGCUAUUAUUCAUGGUAUUCACGAUUGGGUUGUAGAUAAAGAAUUUUAUGGCUAUACGUUGUGGUAUCUUACGGCACUUCAACAAUAAAGUAUCUAUUCCACACAAACAAAAGACGGUUCAUGUCACGAUUAUUGACUUAACCCACAUAUACUUUGAAAUUAAAUUUUUUUUCAGUAAAAGCAUUUAAAUUUGGAGUCAUUCUAUAAUGAAGGCGGCUCUUAGAUGAGAUAUUAUCUCUUAAUUAUUAAAUUAAAUUAAUUAUUUUGAUCUAACGAUUAACUAAUUUAAUUUAAUAAUUAAAAAAUAGAACAUCAUCUAGAUGAGACCCACACUUUAGAAUUUGGCUACUCAACAGAUUGGUCCGUUUCAUGUCGGCCGUUUGUAGACCAAACUGCUGAAAUUGGGCCGGUUCAAUUCAAUAACCCUGUACAGCUAGAACCAAUGGAUAACACCCACGUGGAACCUCAUACACGGAACGAUGAAAUCCCUCUUAUGAAUCUUAGCCAUCCAAUGAGUCGGUCUGUGUGACAAAGAUCAAGAUGAUGAAUGACUUUUACAAGGGUCAAAAGCUAGUGGAGUGGAACGGGUACAGAUGUUGUUGUUCCUCCUGUCGUCAUCAAUUCCAUACAGACGCGGUGAAAUGAUACCUGCUUUUCAAGACAACGAGAACCACUUAUUUUAUCUUAUCUUAAUCGUAAUCUUUAAUCUUAUGCCCGACGUAAAAAGAAAACAAAACAAAAACAAAAUAUCUUCCGAUGUGCCGACACCGGCACACAGGUGUCCUGUCUCAACAGCGCCACGUGUCUCAUAUGUGAAUAUCAGGUAGGUAUGAAAUUUACUUUGCUAAUUAUGUACGUGGGUACGUGUAAAGAUUAAUGAAAUUAUUAUUCAUGGCAUGGCAUGCGCGUUAUGCAUAAUGCAUGCAUAGCCUUUGGGUGUAGAUUCGUUGCCUAUAUAAACCAACCUCAGUUCUAAUUUCAAAUACAUCACUUCAUCCCAAACCAAAGCCAGUUUCAUUCAUUUGGUUUUUAUCAGGAGUUGUAUUUUCUUGUGUCUUUUUUUGUUCGUACUUUGAAAAAUGGCGCAUUUUGGUUCAACACCCGAGCCUACUAAGACUGAUGAGUAUGGGAACCCGGUUCAUCACACCACCACCGGAACCGGUCGGACAGACGAGUUCGGGAACCCGGUUCAGCACGGCGUGGCGGAUACCGGGUACGGAACUGGUGCAGGGUACGGCACUCAUACAAAACCUGGUGUUGUUGAGCACCACGGCGUCCCUGCUGUGCUUCAUUCCAAGGAUGACCAGUACUCUCGUGAUACCCAGACAACCACUGGAGGUUACGGUGGGGACGGGUACACAGGAGGAGAGCACCAGGAGAAGAAGGGUUUACUAGGCCAACUCCAGGACAAGCUGCCAGGUGGGAACAAGGAUGGCCAGUACUCUCAUGACACCCAGACAACCACUGGAGCUUACGGUGGGGCCGGCUACACAGGAGGAGAGCACCACGAGAAGAAGGGUAUAAUAGGCCAAGUUAAGGACAAGCUGCCAGGUGGGCAAAAGGAUGACCAGUACUGUCGUGACACCCACCCAACCACUGGAGCUUACGGUGGCGCCGGCUACACAGGAGGAGAGGACCACGAGAAGAAGGGUAUAAUAGGCCAAGUCAAAGACAAGCUGCCAGGUGGGCAAAAGGAUGACCAGUACUGUCGUGACACCCACCCAACCACUGGAGCUUACGGUGGGGCCGGCUACACAGGAGGAGAGCACCAGGAGAAGAAGGGUAUAAUAGGCCAAGUUAAGGACAAGCUGCCAGGUGGGCAAAAGGAUGAUCAGUACUCUCAUGACACCCACAAAACUACUGGAGCUUACGGUGGGGCCGGAUACACAGGAGAUGAUACCCGGGAGAAGAAGGGUAUAAUAGGCCAAGUGAAGGACAAGCUGCCAGGUGGGCAAAAGGAUGACCAUUACUCUCAUGACACCCACCCAACAACUGGAGCUUACGGUGGGGCCGGGUACACAGGAGAUGAUACCCGGGAGAAGAAGGGUAUAAUAGACCAAGUAAAGGACAAGCUGCCGGGUGGGCAAAAGGAUGACCAUUACUCUCAUGAGACCCACCCAACCACUGGAGCUUACGGUGGGGCAGGGUACACAGGAGAUGAUACACGGGAGAAGAAGGGUGUAGUGGAGAAAGUGAAGGAGAAGCUGCCAGGUGGGCAAAAUGUGCACCCAACCACUGGACCUUACGGUGGGGGUGGGGCCGCGGGCAUAGGAGAGACCCGGGAGAGGAAGGGUGUAGGGGAGAAAGUGAAGGAGAAGCUGCCAGGUGGACAUAAGGAUGACCAGUACCUUCAUGACACCCACCCAACCAAGCCAACCAGUGCAGCUCACGGUGGGGUCGGGCACACAGGAGGAGAGCCCCAGCUCCAUGAGAAGAAGGGGUUGAUUGAGAAAAUCAAAGACAAGCUUCCUGGUCACAACAACUAGAUGGAAUGGAUCAUCAUUUGGACUUCCUAUCAGAUAAUUAUCUGCUGUGCUGCUGUGUAUAAUAAAUCGGUGCUUGUUGUUGGUCUGUGACCACCGAGCAUUGUACAAUGUCGUAUUUUGUAAUAUUUGGAUGUCGUUUGUGUUAUAGUAUAAAUGUGCUCUUCUGAGUACAGUGUUUUGCUUUUGUAACUAUUUAUUGUCUGCUGCUUUCAAGUAUAAAUCUCAAUAAUGCACAUAUAUUAUUAUUAUUAUUUUGUGAUGAAAUAGGUUUGUCUAAAUGAAAUCUUAACCAAGGGUUGAAAAUCAAAUUUUUUGGAAAAAAGAACCCAAAGGCUCCUACUUUCUGCACCGGCCCCUUGAAAAAGUGAAGAGUUUGAAAUGUCAAGAGAUCUUGUGAACCUUUUGCUUUAAGCUGUUGAGCAGCAGUAUCACAAGCUACAACUUCAUAGCUAUCCUUUAACGUUUGACGGACUGCCUUGCCCUCCUCUAUCUGAGUGAAGAAGUUGGCUUUCUUUGCCUUUUCUUCUUGUUGCCGCUUUUCUCAGAGUUUUGUUUUUUCUUACUGUUUGUUUGGUCUUCUUCUUGUAUUUGCCGUUGACUGGUUGCUCGGUCUCGGUUUGUUCUCCUGACCCUUUGGUAUUUGUUUAUGAAAGUACAACUUUACCCCCCAAAAAAGAAAAGUAAUUCGCUUUUAGCUCGUCUAAAUCCCUGAGCACAUACGAACAAGGCCCCUAAUUUGUAUAAACCUAUAUAUAUAUAUUAUUUAAAAAUAAAAUGCAAUAUAUAUUAAUUUUUAUGUAUUUUAUAAAGUUGUUAAUUCCUUUUUAAAUUACAACAGUUCAUAUAAAUGUUUUUAACUUACCGGGAAAAAAAAAAUUCACAUAAGAAUACAUAAAAAGUGGGCAUAAAUCACUCUCUGAAACAUUAUCCCACUCCUCCGAACGACCUUUACAGCGCCACUUGUCAAAAUGUGACAAUGCAACAAGUUCCAAUAAUUUUCAACUGAUACAGAGGUAGCUAUCGUCAAACAGGCUCUUGUGCAUACGCGGUCAAAGUGUCACGAGCUUUUAACACCAAGACAAAGAAUACUAUUAUUAACACAUGAUAUACACAUCUUAUCUUAUCUAUGAUGCAGAAACAAGAUCCAAUUGUCCUCUCACGGCGCCGGCAGGUGUCCCAGUGGCUAACGUGGCUGCAGUGCAUGGAGUCACUAUUCGCGUACGUGUAAGAAUAUGCAUGCCUUGCCAAUCCAAUUGCCCAUAUAUAACCCCCAAACCCCGUUUCUCAUUUCAAAUACAUCAAAUCCCAAACAGAUCUUAAUUUAAAAUUACUCAAAAGUUCAGCAGCUGUUUGUGUUUGCAGUUUGAAAAUGGCGAGCUAUGAGAAGCAGUACGGGGCAACACCGACCGACGAGUACGGGAACCCGAUCCGCCGCACCGACGAGUACGGGAACCCACUUGGUCAUCACACUACUACGACCGGAACCACCGCGGCCACCACUGGCGCAGGAGGGUACGACCCUCAUGACUUCGCCGCCACCACGGUAGCUGGCCAAGGCCAAGGGGUGCAUGGUCACGACUAUGACAGGAAAGGGCACCACGGCGUCACUGGCGCCGUGCUUCACCGCUCUGGUAGCUCAAGCUCUAGCUCUGUAAGUCCUCUUUUUUUUUCUUUUUCUUUUUUUUUAAAUUUUCCUCUAAUAUAUCAAAUUAUGGGAAUUUAAUUUCAUGAAUAAUAUGCUCGAUUGCGCAAUAUAUUUUGUGCUACAUCUCUAACAGUUGUUAUAGAUGUGGUCACAACUUUUGUGUCACAUCAAUAUUUAACAGUUUUAACAGUUUGUGUCAAGUCUCACGGAUCACACUGUUUUGUAUCACAUCCAUCUUGAACAGAAGUGAGACUCGUCUUGUGUCGCACUAUUUCAUCACAAAAAUAAUUUUAUGGUGAUUUUAUUAUAUAUGAUAUGAUAAAGUUGGUAAUUGAUUGUGAUUUGUAGUCUGAGGAUGACGGGCUAGGAGGGAGGAGGAAGAAGAAGGGGUUGAAGGAGAAGGUAAAGGAGAAGCUGCCAGGUGGAACCAAAACCGAUACAACAUACGGUGGAACUGGGACCACCGGGCAGCACCACCAGGAGAAGGGGACGAUGGACAAGAUCAAGGAGAAGCUGCCUGGGACUGGGGGGCAUAGGGCAGAUGACCCCUACCCAUCUCAGACUCAUACAACUGCCAC